CCUGGAUGAUCCUGCCAGUAGCACAUGCUUGUCUCAAAGAUUAAGCCAUGCAUGUCUAAGUACACACGGGCGUGACAGUGAAACUGCGAAUGGCUCAUUAAAUCAGUUAUGGUUCCUUUGGUCGCUCCCACCAUUACUCGGAUAACUGUGAGAUCGGAAGAGGAC